CCGAGCUUGCCUGGCUGGAAAAGCCCAACGACUAGUAAGUGUAGUUAAUUAUGUCUAAAACUUUCUUUAAAUCUUUCUUUAUUGGAUGGAUAUUAUUGAAAGGCUAAGUGUGCUUAUGAACGAACAUAGGAUUUAACCGGUUGGUUCCAGAGAACCAGAUAGGAAGAAAAGACCAAGAGGAUUCUUUUGAAGCAGCAUGACUAGACUCAACUCACGGAUUUGUAUUUAAAACUUUUUUUCAUUGGUAGUUGGAGUACCAAACCGGUCUAAUCUCUUUCUACGGCAAGCGCCAUCGCCUUUUUCACUCUGGAUUAGCCCUCAGUAGCAUUCCCAACUACAUGCUUUUAUUCUUCAUUUUUGUUUAUUUGACUAGGAAUUACUCCCUUUUUUACCCUAUCCGAUUCUUUACUUAUAGUCUCUACCUUUGUAUCAGAUGUUCCUGCACCCUUUGCUUUAGCAUAUCCAUCUGGAUGGCAGUGAAGAAGCAUAAUAGCCUUCUCCAUAAGUCUAACUAUAACCAUUGGUUCAAUGUAAUUAGGAUCACCUUCUAUCUUUGGACUUAUUAUCUACAUCACCUGAGACUUGGGGUUCUUCUUCAACUGUCUCAGAAACCUAACAUUGCUCU
rnacentral:lncRNA from 1 species